rnacentral:rRNA from 1 species
UACGAAGGGGGCUAGCGUUGCUCGGAAUCACUGGGCGUAAAGGGUGCGUAGGCGGGUCUUAAGUCAGGGGUGAAAUCCUGGAGCUCAACUCCAGAACUGCCUUUGAUACUGAAGAUCUUGAGUUCGGGAGAGGUGAGUGGAACUGCGAGUGUAGAGGUGAAAUUCGUAGAUAUUCGCAAGAACACCAGUGGCGAAGGCGGACUCACUGGCCCGA